CACAACGAAAAGGAAAACAUAGAUGAUAGAAACCCCCAAUCUAAAGACAAAUUUUCCAUACACAGAUGACAGAUGAUAGAAACCCCAACGAAAAGGAAAACAUAGAUGACUAUUUGAUUUUCCAUACAAAUCUAAAGAAAAUAUAGAUGAUAGAAACCCCCAACGAAAAGGAAAACAUAGAUGACUAUUUGAUUUUCCAUACACAGAUUCUUAUAAACGAAAAGGACUAUCAGAUUAAGCCCCCAAAUCCAGAUCAGAUCUAAAUAUCUAAUAGAGUUGGCCACAAUCAGCAACGGUCACAUGCUUGGAGGUCUUUCCAUGGAUCUGGAUCGAGAGGCGGAGGCGGAGGCCGGAGACAGAGUGACGGAGAAAGCGGAGAAGAAAGAGUGAAAAUAUGAAAUACUAAGUGGGAUCUGACUUGUCCAACUCAUAACAUAGUAAUAG
rnacentral:lncRNA from 1 species